rnacentral:piRNA from 1 species
UGAAGUGGUCUGAAUGAGAAUUCUAUUC